rnacentral:rRNA from 1 species
AGAGUUUGAUCCUGGCUCAGGACGAACGCUGGCGGCGCGCUUAACACAUGCAAGUCGAGCGAGAACCAGUCCUUCGGGACUGGGGACAGCGGCGAACGGGUGAGUAACACGUGAGUAAUCCACCCUUGGCACCGGAAUAGCCCGGGGAAACCCGGAUUAAUGCCGGAUGGCCCGACAGCCUCUCGGGGCGGUCGGAAAAGAUAGCUUCGGCCUUCGGCCAAGGACGAGCUCGCGGCGGAUUAGCUUGUUGGCGGGGUAAAGGCCCACCAAGGCGACGAUCCGUAGCUGGUCUGAGAGGACGAUCAGCCACACUGGGACUGAGACACGGCCCAGACUCCUACGGGAGGCAGCAGUGGGGAAUCUUGCGCAAUGGGCGAAAGCCUGACGCAGCGACGCCGCGUGAGGGAAGAAGGCCUUCGGGUUGUAAACCUCUUUCAGGAGGGACGAAGCCACUCGGGUUAAUAGCCCAGAGGGUGACGGUACCUCCAGAAGAAGCCCCGGCUAACUACGUGCCAGCCGCCGCGGUAAUAC